rnacentral:rRNA from 1 species
AACGAACGCUGGCGGCAUGCCUAACACAUGCAAGUCGAACGAGACCUUCGGGUCUAGUGGCGCACGGGUGCGUAACGCGUGGGAACCUGCCCUUAGGUUCGGAAUAACUCCCCGAAAGGGGUGCUAAUACCGGAUAAUGUCUUCGGACCAAAGAUUUAUCGCCCUUGGAUGGGCCCGCGUUGGAUUAGCUAGUUGGUAGGGUAAAAGCCUACCAAGGCGACGAUCCAUAGCUGGUCUGAGAGGAUGAUCAGCCACACUGGGACUGAGACACGGCCCAGACUCCUACGGGAGGCAGCAGUGGGGAAUAUUGGACAAUGGGCGAAAGCCUGAUACAGCAAUGCCGCGUGAGUGAUGAAGGCCUUAGGGUUGUAAAGCUCUUUUACCCGGGAUGAUAAUGACAGUACCGGGAGAAUAAGCUCCGGCUAACUCCGUG